rnacentral:rRNA from 1 species
UGGCCUACGGGGGGCAGCAGUGGGGAAUAUUGGGCAAUGGGGGAAACCCUGACCCAGCGACGCCGCGUGAGGGAAGAAGGUUUUCGGAUUGUAAACCUCUGUCCUUGGUGACGAUAAUGACGGUAGCCAAGGAGGAAGCCACGGCUAACUACGUGCCAGCAGCCGCGGGAAUACGUAGGUGGCGAGCGUUGUCCGGAAUUACUGGGUGUAAAGGGAGCGUAGGCGGGAGGGCAAGUCGACUGUGAAAUCUAUGGGCUUAACACAUAGCUGCGGUCGUAAAUGUUCAUCUUGAGGGAAGUAGGGGG